rnacentral:rRNA from 1 species
UACGUAGGGCGCAAGCGUUGUCCGGAAUUAUUGGGCGUAAAGAGCGUGUAGGCGGCCAGGUAGGUCUGCUGUGAAAACUCGAGGCUUAACCUCGAGAUGUCGGCGGAAACCAUCUGGCUAGAGUCCGGAAGAGGAGAAUGGAAUUCCCGGUGUAGCGGUGAAAUGCGCAGAUAUCGGGAAGAACACCCGUGGCGAAGGCGGUUCUCUGGGACGGUACUGACGCUGAGACGCGAAAGCGUGGGGAGCAAACAGG